rnacentral:lncRNA from 1 species
AUGGAGGCGCGGCUCCAAUUUCUGGAGCACCUGAGCCGCUUGCAGGGAAAGGAGGCUGCAACAGGAGGAGAAAGUCAUCUCUCAGGCUCCGUUGAGCCCCCUCUGCCUCUGCCCUCAGCCAGCCCCGCACCCUCCUGCUGCCGCAGCCCGGGCCAUGACUGUCCCCGAGCUGCAGAGUCACAGCUGCCCGAGUGCCUCAGGCAGCCAGCAGAGCCCGCACACACUUACUCAGCAUGCAGUGCCAGCUUGGUCGCUGUUCCCAUUUUACUUCCCGGCAGAGGAUCCACAUUCUUUCUCCACCUCCUCCCCACUUGCUGUCCCCGGGGCUGUGCUGAAGGAUGCGGAGCAUGCAUGCUCUCCCUGGCCAGCAGCUGCCAAAGAGGAGAUGCUGUCAGCAAAGCAGCUGGGUGCAUGGGGCUGUUUCCCAGAGGCCCUCUGUCAAGGGCCCUGCAGCAGGCCCUGGCAAGCAGGAGACUCGGCCCUGCCAGCCCCCGGCUGCCCACUGCCUUUCCCUUCUCCCUGCGGGGCUGUGCCAAGCUCUCCUCCCAGGGAGGCAGGCCAGCCUUUGCCAUGCUGCGCGGCGCCCGUCCCGCUCCCAACCCGUUCACUGCUGAGCUUGCACCCUGGCUCAGAGGAUGGUUAACAGCAGGGUCGAUCCCUGACAGUAACUGGGGCGGAUGCUGGUCCUCCCCUGCACUCCAGCCUUCCCAUGCUGCCAUUUCUGCCCGUGCUUGCUCUACUUGCUGCUGGUACACAAGGCGCGUGCAGUCUGCUUCAUUCCACGCAGACACUUCCCGGAGCUCCUGCAGAGACACAGCAGCAUACAGGAUCAGCCUCAGCCCCUGGGGCCUUCCUUCAACUCUAUGCUCCUGCUCCUCACCUCUGCUGGCCUGUUGGCACUGCUUUGCCCUGAAGGACCAGGGGCCCCAAGGCCAGGCCGGGAUCCGCAACUUGUGGCAAACGUGGCUCAGAGGCCAUAUUCCCCUCUCACAGCCGUGUGUGCUGUGGCAGGUGGCAGGCCAGGAGGUGAGAAGAGACAGGGACGGUGUGCAGCACCCUCCAUAUACCGAAGAGGAGCUGAAGGAGUGGACAGGAAUGUGA